UUUAAAGAGAGUUUGAUCCUGGCUCAGGACGAACGCUGGCGGCGUGCCUAAUACAUGCAAGUCGAACGAACGGAGGAAGAGCUUGCUCUUCCAAAGUUAGUGGCGGACGGGUGAGUAACACGUGGGCAACCUGCCUGUAAGUUGGGGAUAACUCCGGGAAACCGGGGCUAAUACCGAAUGAUAAAGUGUGGCGCAUGCCACGCUUUUGAAAGAUGGUUUCGGCUAUCGCUUACAGAUGGGCCCGCGGUGCAUUAGCUAGUUGGUAGGGUAAUGGCCUACCAAGGCAACGAUGCAUAGCCGACCUGAGAGGGUGAUCGGCCACACUGGGACUGAGACACGGCCCAGACUCCUACGGGAGGCAGCAGUAGGGAAUCUUCCGCAAUGGACGAAAGUCUGACGGAGCAACGCCGCGUGUAUGAAGAAGGUUUUCGGAUCGUAAAGUACUGUUGUUAGAGAAGAACAAGGAUAAGAGUAACUGCUUGUCCCUUGACGGUAUCUAACCAGAAAGCCACGGCUAACUACGUGCCAGCAGCCGCGGUAAUACGUAGGUGGCAAGCGUUGUCCGGAUUUAUUGGGCGUAAAGCGCGCGCAGGCGGUCUUU
rnacentral:rRNA from 1 species